UACGUAGGGUGCGAGCGUUAAUCGGAAUUACUGGGCGUAAAGCGUGCGCAGGCGGUUUUGUAAGCCAGAUGUGAAAUCCCCGGGCUUAACCUGGGAAUGGCAUUUGGGACUGCAAGGCUGGAGUGUGGAAGAGGAGAAUGGAAUUCCUGGUGUAGCGGUGAAAUGCGCAGAUAUCAGGAAGAACACCAAUGGCGAAGGCAGUUCUCUGGGACGGUACUGACGCUGAGACGCGAAAGCGUGGGGAGCGAACAGG
rnacentral:rRNA from 1 species